rfam:Lactobacillus floricola DSM 23037 = JCM 16512 strain DSM 23037 NODE_63, whole genome shotgun sequence.
GAGAGCAAGUAGAAGUUCCCGCUUCUCGCCUAAGUCAAAGACCUCUAGGCUAAUCGAUAAUAAUCUGUUGAUUAAAAAGUGGGUGCUUAUGCACCCACUUUUUACUUGUCCU